rfam:Ictidomys tridecemlineatus contig008025, whole genome shotgun sequence.
UGGGUUGUGGCUCAGUGGUAGAGCACUUGUCUAGCAUGUGUGUGGCACUGGGUUCAAUUCUCAGCACCACAU